GUUACAGACUGUGUCCUCAGCCGUACCACUGGGAGCUGGGUUCUUAAUGGCGUGACAAUGACCCCUAUGAAAUUGGAGGGACCAGGACGACUAGGGGUUGCAAAUGCUAACAUCUUCAUUCUGCUUCCGCUGAAUCAUCUGGAGCUUUCAACCAAGACGGGAGCCCCGUUGUACUGGAGGUUGUACACAGUCAUAGCAAGAGACAGCCCCUGCCCCCAAAGAGCUUGCACAGAUACCGAAGGCCCUGACAUUACUCCUGUUCAGGAAAGCCCUUAAGCACCUCUUUAACUCUGUGGUCAAUGGGACGAAAGCACAUGCUUAAAGUGACGUCACACAGGGUUGGUCAAGCCACUCGCCUGCAAAGCCUUGCUAGACUAUCUGAUACUCUGGAGCCAGCAACAUCUUUAUUUC